UACGGGGGGAGCAAGCGUUGUUCGGAUUUACUGGGCGUAAAGGGCGCGUAGGCGGCCAGCACAAGUCAGUUGUGAAAUCUCCGAGCUUAACUCGGAAAGGUCAGCUGAUACUGUGCGGCUAGAGUGCGGAAGGGGCAACUGGAAUUCUUGGUGUAGCGGUGAAAUGCGCAGAUAUCGGGAAGAACACCCGUGGCGAAGGCGGCUCUCUGGGACGGUACUGACGCUGAGACGCGAAAGCGUGGGGAGCGAACAGG
rnacentral:rRNA from 1 species